UACGAAGGGGGCUAGCGUUGUUCGGAUUUACUGGGCGUAAAGCGCACGUAGGCGGAUCGUUAAGUCGGGGGGUGAAAUCCUGGAGCUCAACUCCAGAACUGCCUUCGAUACUGGCGAUCUUGAGUCCGGAAGAGGUGAGUGGAACUCCUAGUGUAGAGGUGGAAUUCGUAGAUAUUAGGAAGAACACCAGUGGCGAAGGCGGCUCACUGGUCCGGUACUGACGCUGAGGUGCGAAAGCGUGGGGAGCAACAGG
rnacentral:rRNA from 1 species